AAUAAGAUGCCUGAAUAAUAGGACUAUUUUGAUAGAAUAGAAUAUGUAAAAUAUAAUUACUCUUAUUA
rnacentral:tRNA from 1 species